CGUAAAGACGCAUGCAGGCGGCCGUGUUAAGUCAGAUGUGAAAGACCCGGGGCGUUAACCUCGGAAUUGCAUUUGUAAACUAGGCAGGCUAGAGUCUUGUAGAGGGGGUAGGAAGUUUACUAGGUGUAGCGGUGAAAUAGCGUAGAGAUCUGAAGGAAUACCAGUGGCGAAGGCGGCCCCCUCGGACAAAGACUGACGCUCAGAUGCGAAAGCGUGGGGAGCAAACAGGAUUAGAUACCCUGGUAG
rnacentral:rRNA from 1 species